AUUUGGACUUAGAUUUAGAAUAAAAAAUUCUGGUGUCUUAAGUAAGGAAUCUUUCCAGUUUCAAGAGAGUUCCUAAAAGUAUUGUAAUCUAUUUACAGAACCAUGAAAAAUGAGAACAAUAUGAAUAUUUAUUCGGAUAAUAUAAUAACAGUAAAAUACAAUAUGUGGGUGUAGCAGGCAAAAAAGGGCACCUCAAAAGAUAUAUUUACUUCCUAAUCCCAAGAGCCUGGGAAUAUUACAUAAUAGAGCCAAAGAUGCAAUUACAUUCAAGAUCUUGAGAGAAGGAAUUUAUCCAGAAUUGUUUGGUGGGCCCUAAAUGUAAUCACAUAUUAUUAUAAGGGUGAGACAGAGGGAAAUUAGACAUGUGGAAGAGAAGAUGCACUGAAGACAAGACCAUGUAAAGGCAGAGCAGAUAGAGAUAUGGCCACAAGUCGAGGAAGGCCAACGGCCACCAGAAGCUGGAGGAGGCAAGGAAUGGAUUCUUUCAAGAGCUUCUGGAGACAGUGUGAUCCUCUGACACCUUGAUAUUGGACUCCUGACCUCCAGAACUCUAAGAGAAUAAAUUUCUGUUGUUUUAAGCCAUCAAGUUUGUGAUAAUUUGUUAUAGCAGCCACAGGUAACUAAUACAGUUGAGUAUAGGCUUACAGAAGUUUUGUUUCCCUCGUAACUUAAAAAUCAUGCUACUUCUUUUAAUAUUGGGUUACAAGUAGAAAGUACACAGUUGUACCUUGAUGAAAUGCAUUGCAAGUUUACAAAAUAUUUUGCCCAUCAAAAUGUUCUUUAUUUUUAAUAAAAUUAUGAUAUACUCCUGGCAUCAAAAACAUUUGGCUAGAUUGUUAGGGGGUCAGGAUGAUUAAAAGUUAGGUUGUAGUUUAAUUUAUGUUUGUCAUGAUUUUUAAAAAUAAAUGAAUAAAAACAGUAACAACACAUAAUGCUCAUUUUUCUUUUUUCUCUGACUUUGCAGGUUUAACAGUGCACAUUCUACAGCCAAAGAAAGGAGCACUUCUCUCAGAUUCUAUGCUUGAGUUUUGCAUUUAUUGAUACUACUUGUGGAGAAUUAUUUAUUUCCUUUCUCUCCCCUCACCUCUCAAAUGCUUACUUUGUGGCUCUUAUGUGUCAUGGGUUGUUCAAAAUGCUGGGACCAUAUCAUAAAGCUGAUAUGCUCCUUAUCUACAGGGUCACCACUAACCCAUUAGUGCCUUUGCACAAAUUAGUAAAGGUACCUCCAUUCAGCAGUCACAUCCUAAGGGUAUGGGUUUUGUCCAACUAUGUAAAGCCCAGAUUUUAGCCACACUUGCUCCCUUGGCUUAGUACUUUUGUGCAGAACGCAACCUGCACAGCUAUAGGCAGAAGCCCUGCAUAGUCUCAAGAAGAUUAUUAUGCAGCCAAGGCAGAUGCUUUUUCAGUUAGUAUCUCUAGCACCUUUUUCUUUGAAAAAGAGACAAAAAUUGUUUCCAGGUUAGAUUAGUCUUCCCUUUAUCUGCUCCGGAUAUGUUCCAAGACUCCCAGUGGAUGCCUGAAACCAUCAAUAACACUGAACUAUUUUUGGAUGGCAGUUGACUACAGGUAACUGAAACCACAGAAAGUGAAAUGAUAGAUAAGAGAGAACUUCUCUUCUGAAUAGAGCAGGCUCCAUUUCUGAAGAAGGUUGUGUACACCAGGGAAUAGAGAAGCUGAGAAGAGCCAUCUGAAACCAGAAAUCACCGAAAUCACACCCCUUUGAGGUUAAAGCUCUUGGCCAGCAUUCCAACACUAUCCAAGUUGAACUCUUUGAAGUCCAUGCCUUGCUAAUAAUGAUAUAGCAGAUAUUUGUCCAAAAUAAUCACUAGUGGAUUUGUAUAGAAACAUGCCUAACAGGCGAAGAUUGGGAAAUACAUAUGGUCAAUUAUAAAUUAACUAAAAAAAAAACUGCACUGCAGGAACCCAAUGAGAAGAAGUCUGUGACAUUCAGAACAAACAUACUGUAUUAAUUAUUAUUAUUCAUUCUGUAUUGCCACAAGUGUACACAAUACUACGUAAAUGGUUGACAGAACUGGAGAAAGAAUAAUAUCCUAGCCCUGGAAUGCUUAUAAUUUAUGUAAACACAUCCUUUUAUUUUGUUUUUCCAAGCCAUAUCUCUCUGAAUUGUGAUUCUGCUUAUUUUGCUCAUAUUCAUAUUUCAUCUCUGGUUCUCAUAUAAACUAAAAAAUGAGUUGUCUUAGAAGGCACACAUGUUUUUCCAAAAUGAUGAUUCUCUUGCAUAGGAUUUGAACGGUCUCAUUGGGAAUUCUGAAUAAAGAGCCAUUCCUUGGUUGGGGUCCCCCUGUAUAUCUGAAAUGAGAAAAGGGGAAUAUAUUUAAGGCCCUUUGGAGAUGAAUGGUGCUGGAAGAGUAAAGUAUUAUUAGGAACUUUUCUUGGUAGACUAUCAAAAGUCUUUGUGUUUGUAAGUGUUCCUUCUACUAUGAAAAUACAGAGGAAGCAAAGUUGAAGAGAUUAGCACCAACAUUUAUUAUUACCCAAAUUGCUUGCUAGUUCUGCCUCCUGAUCGCACUGUUAAUUCAUCAGGCUCAUUAGUUUCCCACAGUAUACAUUCAUGCUAUAUUAUUGUUUUAUUUAAACUUACCCAUGAAAGAUCUUUAAACUGGCUUAAUUUAGAAGCUGAUUGAGUGAUUUACAUGGCCUCUCAAGUUUUUGUUAAAUAGCAAUAAGCAUUCCACAGACAGGCAAAUUCAGUAUUAACAUGAAUGUGACAUUGGAGAAAUUUCUGUUUUUAUUGUAACUACAAAUAUUGCUUGUUUUACUACCCUUUAUUUUACCAUUUGAAAACAUUUGAAAGACACAAUUUAAACCUUGAUACAAACUGUAUUAGUCUUUGAAAAAUUUCUCCUUAAAAUCAGAAACAAAAUUUGUGACUAAAUUUGGAAACUCUAAUUUGAAGAUCCUGUAUAAUAUGAUUGAAAUUCAUAUAUACUUCCUGAUAUGAAAUACCAACAUUUAUAAAAAUAAAGGGGAGGCCAGGAAGAUAAGUUUGUUUUAAUUCCCCAAUAUUAAUAAGGGCCCUUCUCUGUGUGAGGCAUUAUACUAGGCACUAUUGAUACCAGGUUGAAUAAAACAGACAUAUUCCCAGAAUCUGUGCGUGUGAAUAAUGUAAACUGACAAUCACAAUACUUUGUGGAAGUGUUUUAAUAUGACAAGUACAGAAUAGACUGUGAGAUCCUUUUUUAGGACUCUAAACUCAUACUUAAUUAGGAAGGACUUCCUAGAGAAAAUGAGGUCUAUGUAGCGAUUUGAAAAAUUAGAGUUAGGUGAAAGUCAGGGGUGGGAGUUAAAAGUAGAUUCUAGGUAGGGGAAUAGAAAAGUCUAGAGGCAGGUGAAUUUCUAGUAAGAGUCUAGAAUUGAAAGUAAUCCAGUAUGGCUUGAGCUUAGAUUGCAGAGAUGGAGCAGGAGGAGUAAAGCAAACUAAACAAAAGUUAAAUUAUUCAGCAUCAUGUAAGUCAAGAUAAUGUACUUGUACCAUAUACUAGAACUAAAACAGAGGUUCCUAAUUUGUGUUCCAUGGCCUUGUAGGGAGUCAUGAAUGAGAUUCAGGGAAUUGCUUGUGAAAAUUUUUUGCAUAAACAAAUUCUGAAAGGGUCCUGACAAGCCACUCUCCUUGUUAAGAACAAAAAUCUCCUCCUUGAUGUUUGUCCCCAACCAACACACAUAACUAUCUGUGUAAUGCUGUCAACUGGACUUUGACAACCUUAUUCAUUCACACAUUCAUAUGUUCAACCCAGUUAUGGAAUUUUUCAUAAACAAGAGAUACAGUGGUGAAAGAGAGAAAACAGACUCCUAGAAGAGGAAGACAAGAAAUAAAUAACAAAUAAAUGAGUAAAUUUCAUAGUAGUAAGCAUUAUAAAAAAACUAAAAUAAAAGACUCUGAUAGAGAAGAAGGCUUCCCUGAAGAGGUGACGUUUGAGCUAAAAAUUGGCAAGAAACUGAAAUAGCAAGUGCAAAGGCCCUGACACUGAAUUGGUUUGAUGUGUUUGCUGAGUAGAAAGAAGGCCAGUGUUGCUGCAGUAUAGUUAGUUGUGGGGAGAGUAGUACAAAGUAGGAUGACACUGGAGAUUGGGCCAAGAAUCAGGUCAUGUAGGUCAUGGUCAGGAAUUUGAAUUUUAUUUCAGUGCCAUAGGAAAUCAUUGAAAGAAUUUAGCAGUAUCAUUACAUGAUCUGAUUUAUGUUAAGGAGAGAAGAAAGAAGUAGGAAAGGUAAGAGUAGACAAAGGGAGACUAGUUAGCAAUCUUUUGCAGUAGUUUAGAUGAGAGAUAAUGUCUUGAGGGUGACAGUAAUGGAAAUGAAGAUUAGUAUAUAAACUUGAGAUGAAUUUUGGCAUCAUACACAGCUGCCUGCAUAUUUGGAGUGGUGCCAAAUUACAAUGGAUAAGAUUAUUUAAAUACAAAUGUCUUUAAAAGGAAAAUAUCAGAGGUGUUUCAACAAAAUUACUUUUAAGGUUCUGUCUGACAAAAUGAAGUUAGGAUAUAUGAGUUCAAAUCUUAACCCCGUCAUUUAUGACCUUAGGCCAACCAGUCAUUUUACUCUUCUGGGGUUGAUUUUAUCAUCUAAAAAAGGAAGCUAAUAAAAUGUGAAAGCACCUGCUACCACGUAAAUUUUGUUUAGUUUUUUAAAAGAACGGUCAACAAUUUCAGCAACUACCAAAUCAUCAUUGACAAUGGGUAGCAGAAAAAGGAGAUAAGAAGAAGAUCCAGAGGGCAAAAAAGUCAUUUUUCCCAGAAAUGAAAUUGCUACCUUUUAAAAAUCAUGUCUGAUCCUUUUUGAAAAUGUGUUUUCAGGACCCCAUUAAGCAUGGUUUUAACCAUUCCUUUUGUUUCUCUAUUCAGAACUCCAUACACACAAGCUAGGCAGUGAGAUUUUCAAUUCCAUGUAAACAAUGUAGCCUGGCUUCUGAAAAUUAAUUCUGCAUAUAUUACAUGCAUUGAUAUUCAAAUAUUCACACGAACUUCACAGCAAGCUACAGUGAUUAUGACCUCCACAAUCACCUUAAUUGCUCAGCCCUUCUCCAGGAGUAUGCCCGGGAGUCACUGAGGAUGAGCUCAGUCUUUUGUGUAUUUACAAAUCAUUUCCUCUUUUUUCUGUUUUCUGUGAAAACUGCAGUUAAAAGUAACUCUAGGAAGCAGGUUUGGGGUGGGGGAGUAGAAUAGUCUUGAAAAGCUUUAAUUAGAUACCUGCUUUGUGAAAACGAGGAACUCACAUUGUUUGUGGUUUUAAUUUAAAAACUGAGCUAUCUUUUGCUCUCUUACCUUAAGCAGCUAGGUCAGUGUUCAGUAAAACUGUGGCUUAGUUACUGUUGUUUAUAGAAACUGGAGUUCUUUGUCAUACUGCCAUACUGGUAUAAAACCAAACAAAAC
rnacentral:lncRNA from 1 species